rnacentral:rRNA from 1 species
AUUGAACGCUAACGGCAUGCUUAACACAUGCAAGUCGAACGGCAGCACAGCAGUAGCAAUACUGUGGGUGGCGAGUGGCGGACGGGUGAGUAAUGUAUAGGAAUCUGCCUUGUAGUGGGGGAUAACCUGGGGAAACUCGGGCUAAUACCGCAUAAUCUUUACGAAGCAAAGCGGGGGAUCGUAAGACCUUGCGCUAUAAGAUGAGCCUAUAUUGGAUUAGCUAGUUGGUGGGGUAAAGGCCUACCAAGGCGACGAUCCAUAGCUGGUCUGAGAGGAUGAUCAGCCACACUGGGACUGAGACACGGCCCAGACUCCUACGGGAGGCAGCAGUGGGGAAUAUUGGACAAUGGGGGAAACCCUGAUCCAGCAAUGCCGUGUGUGUGAAGAAGGCCUUCGGGUUGUAAAGCACUUUUAGUGGGAAAGAAAAGCUCAAAGCUAAUAACUUUGAGCCUUGACGUUACCCACAGAAAAAGCACUGGCUAACUCUGUGCCAGCCGCCGCCGUAA